CAGGCCCGGCCCGGCCCCGGCCCCGCGGCGGGGGGAGCCCUGCCCGCCCCCCGGCAGAACCAGGCGAAGCGGGGCAGGGGGGACCCGUCCGGCUGCCGCCGCUUGCGGGGCGCUGGGCACCCCCCGGCUCCCAAAAUGGUAGCUGUAGAACUUCUGCAAUAACAGACUGAUACAAUGACGCAUGGAAAGAUUCCUGAGAACCUAUGGAGUAUGAGCCUCGACAUACAACUCUGCCCAGUCCAAGAUCACUUAUGUCUUUGUCCUUCCCUGACGGAAAGCUCUUGAAGCUUUUCUGCAUGCUGAAUGACAUCUGUAGAUGACUCUUCUGAAGGGUGCUGUUUUGUGCUUCCCGUUGAACUCUGCUCUGUGACGCUCGUCUGGCCGAACUGCAGGAGACGGGUCACUGGAGUCUGACCAGAGGGGUGUGAGGAGGAGCCGCUGGAGAUUUUGCACAGAAAAGUAUCAGGUGACUGUGAGUGAGUGCCUCUGGGACUGGAGAGGAGGUCGUCUAUGGGAAAUUAACUUACCAUCUGGCCAGAAAUGGUUUAUCUUCUUAAGAUUCACUUUUCCGAUAGUCUGUGUGUGCACCCUCCUCAUGGAGGGAGAGCGGGCUGGAAAUGCGUACGAGGAUUUGCUCGUGCAUGCACAAACACUUCUGUUGUCUGACAGAAUACUGCACUUCCUGCAAACAUUUCUGGAAAACAACUACAUCAAGCAGAAAACAGGAAUGAUCAUAAAUUGGGUGUACCUGAUUUGUCUAGUGCUACGAGAAGGGGUACCAGAAAGUAGUCGUGCAGUCCCAGUUAGCCUGUCCUGGUUUGGUUGUGUGGAGAUUCCCAUGAGACACGAAUAUCUCAGUUGUUUAAGCUUACUUACCUGACAGAAGAGGAGGGAGGCGAUUUUCUAGCAGAACUAAUCACAUUCUGGUUAAACAAACACUGCCCACAAACUGAAACAAGCCAGCGAAAGAUGCUGUAAGUCUACUCCCAUUUAAAAAAAAAAAAAAUGUUUCAAAAUUUUUGUCUAAGAAUAAACGUCAUUUAUUCUGAAGUGCAUGCCUACAGUCUGCAACAGCAAACUUUGCCCUCUUUCAGUUAAGUUUGUAGAAAUUACACUCUGUGGAGCUACUUUCUCUUACUUUCUCACUGGUUUUGGAGGUGUUCUCAUCUUAACAGGAACAUCCUAGCAGCAGAUUUGCAAACUGCUUUAGAAAUUCAUCUAUUAGGCUAUAUAUUGACUUAGGAAACGUCUCAAAACGUCACUUCGCUGCGUACUUUCCCACCAGAUCUCAUGUAGAAGUGACCUUAGAGAACCUCUGCAAGACACAGGAUGAUGGUAAGGGCGCGUGUGGUGCCUGAGUCAUAAGCUGCACACCGGCGCAGGGCAAGGGCUGGGGACAAGGUAAAUCCACUUUUUUAACGUGAGAAAUGGGAAGUGGGGUUUCUUUUGUGAGGAUGUGUUCUUGUCAGCUGUGAUGUCAUUCAUUGCUUUUGCAUCAGAAUCUUAAAUUUGUGUACAAAGAUCUCUGUUGUAGAAGCCCCAUCUUGUGGACAACCAGUCAAUGACUCCUUCAGCACAACUUAGAUUUUACACACUUAGAAAAUCUGAAGAUAUUUUCGUAGUCUUUACAAUAAACUGGAGAGUCUUCUUAUUGCUGGACAAUAUGGAAACUGCAUUCAUGUACAGAAAUCAACAAACGCUUUUUGAAGAUUAUUUCCACAGGUGGUGUGCCCAGCGGGAGUUUGCUUGGACGGGCCGACGAGAGUGGAGAGGAAUCUGACGUGUGAGCGGGGCGCCACACCAGCGCCUGUGUUGGGAGGAGAACAGAGGUUGCUGUUCCUGCAGGUGGAAGGCGGAUUAAGCAUGGGGAUGAAAAAAGAGACAAAAGUUCGUGAUCUGGACAUCAUAAAGCCAGGAAAUAAUUUCCUAGUUCUUGUCAAGAGGAGUCUGGAUGAAAUCUUCACUCUAAAGACGUAUCAGAGACGUCCGCUUCCCCGGAGGUGGAUCCUGGCCCCUGUGCGUGAACAGACCAGCGAGGUGAGGAGGAGGCGAGGCCCCUGCCCUCACCAAAGACAGCUUGAAACUCUUCCGAGCCUUGUCCAGCGGGUUCGAUAAUUCUACAGUUCCUUAUGACUAUGAGGAAGGCAGAGAAACCGUGGACGAGCGGUACGGGCACCGCUGGGUUCAGAGGGAGCGGACGCCUUCCACCGCGUGGAACUUUGGUCCUUCAAGGCGUCAUAGCUCAUGCAGAACAGAAACAAUUUGACAUGUAAAACAAGAAACACUGCAAAUUCUUUGCCAAACAAAGACAUAUACUGCAGAUGGAAGAACUGAUGAAAAUUGUUUAUAGUUGAGGAACUAAGUGUAGAUUUUUCAAGAACAAGGUUGCUCCCUUCCUUGCCAAGACAAACAAAUCUGGUAGAACAUCUCGUUGCUUUAGGCUGCCUGAGAACCCACUGGAAAGUCUGUGGACCUUUCUCCACAGAAAAUGCGUGUGUUGUCAGUACAUAAGCGUGUUGUCCACAGUUGCACCGUGGCAGCUGCAGCGGAAGUAGAAGGUUCUCAGGAAUACACGAGGGAGAACUGGAUUUUUGGCUCCUGAAACAGUAUGGAGUGCUUUUGGAAACUCUGGAAAUUUAUGAGCUGGAUGUUACUGCUACAAAAGGCUCUCUGUCGGUUAAACAAUGGUGCAAUACUGCUGUUCCCAAAGGAAAGAAACCAGCUCCAACAAGAGUAGUGUCUGUUCUGCAAUGAAGGGUAAGUGGUUCGCAAUAGCUGCAUAGAAAAGAAAGUUUAAAAGUUUAAUGUGGAAAACGAUGUUGUUGUGUGUAGCAGUGUCCACUGUCUUCAGACUGUUAUUUUUCAGGCGGCCCAGGAACACGAGCACUUAUGGCAUCACAUCAUUUUACAUCAUUAAUAGAAAUGUUUCAUUUAUAAAGUACGUCAUCAUUUUUUGCUCAAACUUCUUUUCAUUAAUUCCGAAGUUCUUUUGGCCCAACCGUCUCUGUGUACAUUUAGCUAAAAAACCAGUGGUUUCUAAUAUAGACUUUACACUGAACAAUAUAUUUAAUUGCAUUACCUGACAUUUUAAUAAACUAACUUUCUAAAAAUCUAUAUUGAUGUAUAUGCUGAUCUUUUCUGAUAAUUCGUUUCAGAGUGACAUUAUUAUGGAACCAACUGCCUCAGAGGUUGCUUUGGCUAUUUUAACUCUAUUCCUGUAAUCCACUCCAGUCUUCAUUUUUCAGCUGGUAACUUCUCCAACAAUGAACAUUAUUAUAAUAAGUGAUUAUUUAACAAAGAGUAAAUUUGACUCUGAAUUUUGUUGUCAUAUAGGUUUCUUUCUUGGUGCAAUACCUGUAAAUUGGAUUAUUUUCAGCUAACAGAGUCUUCAGAGGCUGUGCCAAUGCCUUUGCUGUACUCCUCAUCCCUCUUCUUCCAAGACUAUGCAGCAGUGCUGGCAGCAGUGGUUAUUUAUCUCCCUCACUGAGGAUACGCAGCUGUAAGAACACAGAGGGGUGUAGGCUGUGGAGUGCGUGUGAACAACCUGUCACCAAAACCCAGUGAGUCAGGGCUCCUGGGUGAGAUCUGCACGCUCCACCGGGGGCGCGUUUGCUCCCCUGCUGACAGUGCUCCCUGUGUCAUUUCGGACAGCCUGAGAUUUCCUUUGCUUCGUUUCUUCCCAGAGUGGUCUGGUUUUCUCAAAUGCGGGACCACUUCUUCUAAGAGCUGCCUUAGAUGUCAAGCAAGCAUCUCCAUGAAAGUUUUGUUAACCACCUGUAUUUAUUCAUUUUGUUCAGUGCAGCGAACUCUGAUGUCUGCUGUAACACUCCAUUUCAGUUAGAAAUGGCACAAGGGCAGUGGGCAGUUGUGAAGCAGCCUCUGAAGCUGCCAGCCAAAAACUGGAUUUACUGGUUAUUCCGAUUACUAUAAUGAUUAAUUGGGAAGAGCUUGUGAAUGCAGAAAAAUCCAGAAGAGGUGAGAAGAAAGAAACUUGUGCAAACUUCGUUUAAAAAGAGAUGCUGCCUGACAAAGAAAAAACAAUUGACUGAGACAGCUGCUUAAAAAAGGUUUUCCCAGCUGAAGGUUGCAGGGUUUAUAUGCCUUGCUAUAAUAGUUACAUAUUUGUCAGAGUUGAACUAGAAAUGGAAAUGCUCCGGUGGAUGAACUUUCAUAUACUACUGAGGAGAGUUUGAGGAGGGACUGUUGCUGUGGUCAGUAUUAGUCAAAGGGCCUGCAGUGUUUGGGCUGCAGAGCUCCAUAUUGGAAGAAGUGACAUAAAGCGGGGGGUCUGUGCCCAGAUUCCAUGGCAGAGACACAGACGCUGUUCGUUCCCAGCAGGGUUUGCGCAUGUGAGAUCCCCAGGCAGAGUUCAGCACAGUCCGUGGACAACCCGAGAGGGGAGGAGCUUGGUCCAGGUCUUUGUCUUCUCCUCCACCUUCACUUUACACUAUUGUAAAAAACACAUCAUAUGAAGUUACUUUUUUAAGAGGUAGAAAUAGAAAAUGCAAUUCAAUGUUUAAUGUUAUGCUUGCCCAGCUUAAUAGAUAGGCACACACAGGAUGGAUAUGCACUCACACAGGAUGGAUAUGCACUCACACAGGAUGGAUAUGCACUCACACAGCAUGGAUAUACACUCACACAGGAUGGAUAUACACUCACACAGGAUGGAUAUACACUCACACAGCAUGGAUAUACGCUGCGCACAACCUGGAGAUCUCCUUCUGUUUAAAAUUCUGACUCCUCUGUGCUUUACUGAUUUGCUCAUAUAGCAGGCUACCCACUCUUCUUGGCUGAUGCUGAGUAGAGUUGGUAAAAACUGCAAAGACAGCAGAGUACACUGAUGACAAUGUUUAUUAUACAUUCUGUUCCACAAGUGGAUUUUUAGGAAUCAGGUUUUUAAUUUAGUUAUUUUACUCUGCUUUAGCAAAUGGUAGUUGUUGUUUUUCAAAAAUGCCUGCCCUGUUUUAGUUGCCUUUGUUGCCACUAGUCAGCUUUUCAUUCCACAUAGUAAUGUCCACAAGGUGGUGCCACAGCUAAAAAGUUGGCAAUAACUAGAAUAUAAUUUGAUAAUUUUACCUGCUUUUUCUAACUGACUAAGGUAUCUGUGUCAUUAAAUAAUUAAUAAUUAUUUUAUAAGCAUAGUGUCAUCUGCAUUUCUAAUGACAUCACAGGUUUGCAAGCUUUAUUUUUAAAUGACCUGUGUCAGCAGAGCUGGGUCUGUCUGCUGCCUGGGUGGGAGCAACACCCAAAGUCAUGUACGAAGACGAAGAGACAGCUCAGGGUUAAGUAGAGAGCCUGAAGAAUGAAGAACGGGAUCCGCAGAGACUGAGCCCAGCAGAGCUGGGUAUGUCCAAGCAGGGCUGCCAGUGCGAACACUCCGCCCCACAGACGUGUCUUCUUGUGGAGGGCUUGAGGAGAUGAACGUCUAGAUCACUUCAGCAGGACCUGAGUCAGCCUGAGUCCAGACAAGCAGAAUAGUUCAUCCUCAACCUCAGCUGAGUCGGCUUCCAUGUGGUCACCCUCGUGUGGCUGUGGCACGUUGUAGCCUAAUUUUCAGGUUUUUUCCACAGCCAGGCUCCCCGCUCCCCUGCCAUGUGACAAUGUACUGUUGACUGUUGAUUCCGAAGGGGUAUGAAGUGCUUACGGAGGGACCUGGUAUGAGAGCGGCUGGAUUAGUAUAUACAGGUGCAGUUUAGUAGUAGUCUUUUCCUCUUCAGUCAGAGCUAAAAAGGCAGCCAUCCCAAACUGCGUUUAGUACAGGUGAUCCUGUUUCUGAGCGUCUUUCUACACAAGAUCAGACUAGAGAAAGUAGAAGGCAAUAACAGGGAAUGUAAAAUGAGUACAUGAAUUAACCACCCAGUACAGAAAAGACAAUAAAACUUAGAGAAGAAAGUUAUUUGUGUAGAUCUGAAUGGCUGUACAGUUUUAUAGCAGACUGGCAUGUCUCAGAAGAGCUGAAGGGGAGAGGAGCUUGGUCGUUGCUCUCUGCAUGUGUGUGUUCAGCUACUCUUGGCUACGUGGCCAUGGCUGCUGCUUGCACCCCGCCCUGCUCGCCUCAGGGACCUCUGCAACGCAGAUGUUUUACACAGAGAAGAAAGGAUGCUCUAUUCUAAAGGGGAUGGCAGAGCGUCUGAGAUCAUACGUUUAAAUCUCCGCUGUAUGUAAAACCCAGGUAUGCGUUGUUUUAGUAAUUUAACAACCAAAUUGAAAUCCUGAAUAUUUGCCCUUGCGAUGCUUGCGAUGAUUUUGCAUUCUUGUUGGAAAUCCCGUAAGUAUUUUUGAAACAUCAAAACUGUUUUUCUUCUAAGUCUGGUUUUCUGGUUUCUCAUCUAUACAGUCAUGAACAGAAUAUGCUUUAGCUCUGUGUCUGUGCCUAAAUCUAUAUUUAGAUCCCAUUAAAUAUUAGAAAGAGGUAGCUUGAGUAUUCUAAGUUGGGAGCGAGUCUGAGCGUGGCUCAGAAAUCAUCUGCAGAUGCACAGUGUUCACCGGAAGCAAUUGAGAAUGGCAGUGGUAUCCUGCAGGAUGUGUGCAACUCGUCUGGCUAUGUGUUGAUUUACACAGGACUACGUUAUAGAUUAUACAUUCUGGUAAUUGUGGUAUUGUUAUUGCUGGGCUGUAUCUAAGCACAGGAAAUACAUAUAAGCACACUUGAAGUGAUAGCAGCCACUGCUGUUUGAAAAGCAAUAUUUUAUUCUUGUUGAAAAACUCACACAUAGUAUGCGUUUGCAAGAGAAAAUAGACAAGUUCCUAAUUAGUGCUUAACAAGACUUUUAGGAAAAAGCUGAUUCAUUAUGGGAGUCCCAUAACCAGCAUUUGCAAAUAAAUCUACAUAAACUUGUAUUCUUAAUCAGUUUAAACAAUUUGUUUUUAGUAUGGGCUCUAAUCCAAGAUCAGGAAGGAGACAGUACAUUUCAAUCUGAAAACACAAGAAAGAUCAAAAUACAUUUUCAGUGGGUCACCAAACCCACAAUACUAGGUUUCUGUUGAGGAGAAUGAGUAAUACUAUUCUAGCUACGUAGAAUGCUGCAAGUGGGUAAUAAUUCCAUUAGCUGAUAGGGCAGAUUAUGUAUUCUGCAAGAAAAUUAUGCCAUCUAAAAACUUGCCCUAGUUCUUCAGCUCAGUAAGAAAGCCUGCCCGCCGUGCCCAUUUCCCUCAAGUCCCUCGAUGCCUACUUGUCUAAUACUUGGAUUCAGGAACAGGCUUGUUCUCCAUCCAACAUCCCCAACAAGCCCUGUCUUGCAGUUCAGGAACACAUUGGUUCCAACCUUGACCUGAAAAGAGGCGUCUGUUCCUGCCGCUGCUCCCAGGACGUGGGGUUUGGGUUCAUCCUCAGCUGUGCAGCUGGAGGUAACGUUGAUUCCGCUCUCGGAGCCUGUCUCCCCAUUUCCCGGGGACAGUGCGGGAUUCAGACCUGUCCGUGCACUUCGGAAAAUCGCCGAUCGAGUCGGGGGCCUCCCAGGUUCCCUCCUGGACAGAGAGGAUGCUAUGGGCACGCUGCGCCUGCUUACUUUGUUUCACCAGGGAAAACAGAUUAAAACUGGUGUAAAGUUUCGGUCUUGUUCCUCCCAGCAAUAGAAAAUUACAAGGGAAGAGAAUAUAAGACAAAGCUGUAACUUUAUGGAAUAAUUAGAGGAGAACGUACAAUGUUCUCUCAAAAGGCCUUCCAGCUAAAUAUUUUGUUUGUUUGAAUAUUAGGAAACAUUCUUGCCUGUAUUAAUAAAUGAGAAAAAGUAACAGUAGAAUUGUGAAACAAAUUAAUACAUCUGAAAAAAAUAUAAGCCCCAAGGCCAUAGCUAGAUCUAUAUCCAUACUGCAGCUCGAUGUUAGUUGUAUUGUGGGGUGAAAUCAGAAUCAGAGUUGACGCUAUUUGAUACUUUUCCUGUUUGUGAUCCUGGAUCUUGUAAUGCUGUUGAAGAUCAAUAGUAUCUUGCUAUACUGUGUCAAUUGAUUUCUUAAAUGAUAGUUCUGAGUGAGGUUCUAAACAGACACUGCAACAUAUAAGAAAGGAUUGCCCUACUAAUGGAUCUAAUGCUGAUGUGAUAAACAUAUAUACAAAAUAGCCCAAAGCCUAAUGAUUUGCUUCACAAUUUCAUGAAAAGCUUUUUAUCGUUUUGCACCUAUAAUAUUUAACAUUAAUAAUAUAUUUUUCUUUAUGAAUUUAUAAAUGCUACUGGCCUGAAAGUUUUGUGCUGACAGUCAAACUAACACUGAACAAAACUUCAGUUUUGUCAGAUGUCAUAUUAGCAACAAAUUCUAAAUGAUAAGGGAGCUGAUGCCUAUAAGUUAAUGUGCCUUUGCUUUGAGGGGAGGCUCAUUAUACUAUCUUUUGUAAGUGUCACCUGCUUAGGUAAGCUUUGAUUUACAAGAUAACAUGAAGAUAUGUUUAAUUUGAAAUAUGAAAUAUGAAAUAUGAAAUAUCUUCAGUAUUUUCUUGGACAGGAGUCUCUGUCCCUGGUGUCAACUUGUCAUAUCCUGUUGAGCAAAGGAGCAGCUUCAAUAGUACUUGCAGUACUUAAUGUUAUGCAAGUUUUCCAGGUUCGUUGCUGGGAUCAGGGCUAUGAAGGCAAAGGUCAGGUGAAGAUCCCUUCUUGGAACACACUAGGAUAUGAGCCCCUAUGUUUAUUUCUUCUUCAUAAUUCUACUUAUUAAAUAGACCAAUUUACGAUAGACUUUAACAUAAUUAAAUAUAUUUGUAUUUGCGUGAAUCACAGGGAAGGAACAAAUCUAUGUAUUCUGUCGAACAGCACACCUAAUGUAGCUGCAGCGUGUGUGGAUCUUUCUGCAGUACAUUCAGAUACUGCCUUUCAUUGAGCACUAAGAGAUGUUGCCUGCAAAAUAUCUCAUGGCUUCAAAAAGAGAUUGUGAUGUCUGUCUGUUUGACAUGGGAGAUAUAUUUCAUCACUCUUUUACAUGACCUCAGAAUCAUUGUGUACUUCCCUAAUCAUGAGUAUGGAGGAUCAAUGACAAUGGAAAUGAAAACACCAGACUGCGUGCCGUGCGAUUUGUAAUUAGCUCGGGAUAUCCCAAGGAAAUUCUGUAAGUUGCUUUAGUGUCUUCAUUUUGCCUUGUCUCAAAUCUAUCUGGUUUUCUUUGAGUUUGUACAAGCAACUUGCCACUAAAUUUUUGGUGGAAAUGUGUAUGUUUCAAUUGAAGCACAGUAACAAGUCCUUGUCACUAAAAUCCCAUGGGUUCUGUCAUCUGCAAGGACCCGUGUGGAGCUCCAGAGCCCUUGUGGCUGUUGGAUAACUCAGAACAUUCCUCAUCUUGCUUGAGCAGUAUGACAUAUCUCUAACACACCUGAGAUCUCUUUAGGCCUCAAAUAUUUGGUUUAAAUGUCUAAACAAUAAGAGUUUCUUAAGCAUUAGAAGACACAGAGUUUAAAGAUCAGAUUGAGCCAUGACUUCUGCAUUUACUGCUUCACUAAAGCUGCCAGAAUGCUGAGGAGCCAGCCUGCCAGAUGCACCCUUCUGUGUUUUGGGUGAGUAGCAACCUGUGCCUGGGAUCUACUGCACAAGUUAUGUCUGAAUCCAUUUGCAGUCAUUUUCGGUGACACACAACGCGGUCAGCAUGAACUGAGAAAACUUCGUCUAGCACUUUUGUCAGUGUGCCAGAAGAAAUUCCUUGGGAUUCAGAGUCUAAGGUUUCAUUUCAAUGAAUUGUCAGGAUGCUGAAUGUUAUUUAUUCUACACUGAGACUCAUUUUAAUGCAAAACACUGUCAGCUGCCAUCAGUGCAGGCAAAAUUAUAUUUCUUCCUACAUAGACACCCAUCUAGAUACAAUCCAGUUUGCUCUCCUGUCUCUGAAUUUGGUAUUACAGGGACGGCAGGAACAGAAACUGCAGCUGGCCUGGGAUUCCCUUGCGCUUGAUUGUGUGUCAGCAGCCUGAUCUAAUUAGGCAAGUCUAUUUUCCCACAAAAUAAAAUUAUUGUAGACAACAAUAUGAUGAAUUGAAAACUUCUCAAAGUUGUUAAAUUCUAUCUGGUUUUGAAAAGGAGCUGUAUCGAGCAGAUACUCAGCGAGGCAUUGCAGCCCAGUGGGCAGAGCGCUGGACGGGGAUUGAGAAAUCUGGGUUCUUUUCCAAGCUCUCCUGACUUUUAAAUGACCUUGAGCUGCCACUUCCCUGUGCUUCAGUUUCUGUGUCUGUAGGAGGAGGAUGAUAAUCCUCCGUAAUGCUUUUAGACUCCCUGAAGAAAGGAUCAGGAUCAACACGAGGUAUUUCUUGCACUGGCCUGAGCGGGAUGCAGCUGUGGUUGAAGGUGGCCAGGACUUGGUCAAUAUUCCGUGUAUUCCAGGAAACUGGGGAAACUUGGGUUGCUAGACGCCUUGCUUUCUGUUGCCUCUUAAAACAUAUUUCCAUGUAAAAGGUCUUUCUUAUUUUUCAGACCAUUACAAAAUAUCUCCAGAACAUUUCAUAGUAUUUAGUUGCCACAUUAAUACUCACGGUUCUUACUGGCAUUACUGGGAAUUGUGAUUGCCAAGUGCCUCUCAAGAUAGUACAAAUGAUAACAUAGAUAAUGUAUUUUUGACCAAAAGAAAGUGUUUUGCAAUGUUAUACUUAGCAUAUCUGGGGAAAAUUUUUGUCGGUUAGUUUAUAAGGUAUUUCAAUUGGACUUUCAGCGAGAGUUUAAAACACUCUGAAAUUUUAAAAGAAGUGUUUUUUAAAAAAAUUGUAUCUUGAUGUUACAUAUUUUGUAUUGAUACACAGCUACCAGCUCUGUGCACAGAAAGAACAGCCUACUUCCAAAACUGUUGAAUGCUUUGACCUCAAGGGCAUAGAAACUGUUGACUCAUUGUUUUUACUGCAUAUAAUAUUGGUCCUUUGUCACAUCCAGGGAAUGACAUCAUCUUCUUCAUUGUUAGCAGCAGGUUUGAAGAACAGAAGAAGCGCAGCAUUAGUUGUCUGCUGUAUUUGCUCUUAAUAAACGAAUGGGUGUCUGGUAUCAAGGUUCAGAUGAGCAUUUUUGGGGAAGGCUUUGGAGCGGUUUGUGCCCAGCGAAGAGGGCGGGGCGGGCAGGGAGCCCCGAGCCGGCCGAGCCAGGGCCACCGGUGGCGCCGGCUUCUCAGGAGCCGUAAGGGGAGGCAGGAAGGGAAGAGAGGAGGCACAGAACAAGACAGACAUUCUCUUCAAGGUCAGUUUAGUAAAAGGAGUCGCCAAACUUCUGGGAGUAAAUCGUGUUUCUCUGGAAUCUAAAACUGUGAAAGGUGAUUCUCUGAAAAUAAGUCAUCUCUAGGACACGCUGACAAAAUGGGGACUGAUUAUCUUCAAAAUACACCAGGAUAAGAAUUUUAUCCAUUCUGAAUUUGUAUUCGUGUCUAUUAAUCUCCUACUCCCUAUCACUACAGUGUCUGUGUCCUGCACUCGAAAAGUGAUCCCCUCUUAGGCGUGUUUGCUGGCACCUGCCUGGCUGUGGAAGGUCAGGUCGCUGCAGGCAGUGACCGGGUUAGUGGGAGUCGUCGUGGGGGUGAAACACCCCCUUCUGCUGCAGGAUUCUGCAGAACUCUUCCAUGGCGUGGAAAAUGCUAAAUGUUGCCUCCUGAACAGUGAAUAUUCGUGGUGAGAGAGAGUUUACUCAGGCAGAGAGAGAUUCCUCGAGAGUCUGAUAAAAUGCCAAAUCCUAAUCUCUUUCCAUUAUCCACUGCCUUUAAGUUUCCCAGAAAAAUGUGAUGUAUUUAACUGUAAAAUUAUACCUUUGUGGACCCCAAGAAGAUUUUAUGAUGGAUAUAAUUUCCUGCGUUGGCAGACUGAAUCAAACUGGACUUUGAAAAGCUGAAAUCCCUCCAGCUGUGAGAGAAGAACCGAGGCAGCGGGCUGGGAGAGCCCCGGCAAUGGGUCAAGGAUCCAAGAUCGCUUAAUCGCAGUGGCCCACACAGCAAGAGUGGACUCCAACCAGGGGUACGGGCGUGGAAAUACCUCUUAGGAUGCCAAAGCUGAAAAAGAAAAAAAGCUGAACCAUGCUGUGAAAGAUUAAAUUCAUACACGCUGACUUGGAAGCAUCAGGGACCUGAUGUAUUGUCCUUUUCACAAAGCAGGUGUAUCUGUGCUUGCACAGGUUGAGACACCUGCCUUGUAAGUAGAUGGCUGA